rnacentral:rRNA from 1 species
AUUGAACGCUGGCGGCAUGCCUUACACAUGCAAGUCGAACGGCAGCACGGGGCAACCUGGUGGCGAGUGGCGAACGGGUGAGUAAUGCAUCGGAACGUACCUUUCAGUGGGGGAUAACGUAGCGAAAGUUACGCUAAUACCGCAUAUUCUGUGAGCAGGAAAGCAGGGGAUCGCAAGACCUUGCGCUGAUUGAGCGGCCGAUGUCAGAUUAGCUAGUUGGUGAGGUAAAGGCUCACCAAGGCGACGAUCUGUAGCGGGUCUGAGAGGAUGAUCCGCCACACUGGAACUGAGACACGGGCCAGACUCCUACGGGAGGCAGCGGUGGGGAAUUUGGGACAAUGGGGGCAACCCUGAUCCAGCCAUGCCGCGUGAGUGAAGAAGGCCUUCGGGUUGUAAAGCUCUUUCGGCCGGGAAGAAAUCGCACGGGCUAAUACCCUGUGUGGAUGACGGUACCGGAAUAAGAAGCACCGGCUAACUACGUGCCAGCAGCCGCCGCGGUAA